CGGAAGAGGAUGGGCAUGCGGCGCAUUAGCUAGACGGCGGGGUAACGGCCCACCGUGGCGACGAUGCGUAGGGGUUCUGAGAGGAAGGUCCCCCACACUGGUACUGAGACACGGACCAGACUCCUACGGGAGGCAGCAGUGAGGAAUAUUGGUCAAUGGGAGAGAUCCUGAACCAGCCAAGCCGCGUGAGGGAAGACGGCCCUAUGGGUUGUAAACCUCUUUUGUCGGAGAACAAAACCCGGGACGUGUUCCGGACUGCGUGUAUCCGAAGAAAAAGCAUCGGCUAACUCCGUGCCAGCAGCCGCGGUAAUACGGAGGAUGCGAGCGUUAUCCGGAUUUAUUGGGUUUAAAGGGUGCGUAGGCGGUCCGUUAAGUCAGCGGUAAAAUUGCGGGGCUCAACCCCGUCGAGCCGUUGAAACUGGCAGACUUGAGUUGGCGAGAAGUACGCGGAAUGCGCGGUGUAGCGGUGAAAUGCAUAGAUAUCGCGCAGAACUCCGAUUGCGAAGGCAGCGUACCGGCGCCAGACUGACGCUGAGGCACGAAAGCGUGGGGAUCGAACAGGAUUAGAUACCCUGGUAGUCCACGCAGUAAACGAUGAAUGCUGGUUGUCCGGGUCGAAUGAGAUCUGG
rnacentral:rRNA from 1 species